rnacentral:misc_RNA from 1 species
UUAAGUUCAGCGGGUAGUCCUACCUGAUUUGAGAUCAGAUCGUAAAGCUAAUAGACGAUUGGAAGCAGUUCGUCCGCGACCCCGGCCACUUUUUUACAGUGUCCUCAGCGAAUGAUUACUUAUCACGCCGAGUGGAACCGAGCCUCGCCGAGAAUCCAGCUAAUGCAUUUAAGAGGAGCGGAUGUGAAUCCGCAGACCUC